AUGGCAGUUAGUUACCUUAAUGAACACCAGUGGGUUAGUUACUUUAAUGAACAUUUACCAGUGGGUGUUGGAACAGGCGAUGUAUGUGAUCUAAAAGUCCAAACAGUAAUGGAGAAAAAGGUUGUCUUUUUCCAGUACUUCAUUAGGAAAUUGUUCGAUAUUGCAUGACACUGAAACAGACAGAGUAUUAACUGAUGUAUUCAACAGUCCCCCUCUGUAUGAUGAUGUGAAGGUGCAGUUUUUCUCUUCGAGUCUUCCUAAAUACUAUGACAAUUGUCCAUUUUUCUUCUGGUUCAACACAUCUUUUAUUCAAAGUAACAGGCUUUAUCUACCAAGAAAUGAAUUGGAUAAUCUUCAUAAACAAAAAACAUGGAAAAUGUAUCCACCACAAUUUGCAGUGGAGGUACUUUUUGGUGAGAAGUGACUUACAAUUACGUUGUAGCUGGAUCCAAUUAAGUAUAGUUCCCCCUUCCCCUUCUGGGAAAGAAUUAUGUUCAUUCCAACCCCUGCCACAUAUUCAUAUGUCCUAAAUCUUCCUUGAUGAGAUACCUGUAUUUAUAUAUGUUUACAUAUGUUCUUGAUAAAUCUGUUAAAUAUAUAUA